rnacentral:rRNA from 1 species
UAGUCUGGUGCCAGCAGCCGCGGUAAUACGGGAGUGGCAAGCGUUAUCCGGAAUUAUUGGGCGUAAAGCGUCCGCAGGCGGCUUUUCAGGUCUGCUGUUAAAGCGUGGAGCUUAACUCCAUCAUGGCAGUGGAAACUGAAAGGCUUGAGUAUGGUAGGGGCAGAGGGAAUUCCCGGUGUAGCGGUGAAAUGCGUAGAUAUCGGGAAGAACACCAGUGGCGAAGGCGCUCUGCUGGGCCAUUACUGACGCUCAUGGACGAAAGCCAGGGGAGCGAAAGGGAUUAGAUACCCCUGUAGUCCUGGCCGUAAACGAUGAACACUAGGUGUCGGGGGAAUCGACCCCUUCGGUGUCGUAGCUAACGCGUUAAGUGUUCCGCCUGGGGAGUACGCACGCAAGUGUGAAACUCAAAGGAAUUGACGGGGGCCCGCACAAGCGGUGGAGUAUGUGGUUUAAUUCGAUGCAACGCGAAGAACCUUACCAGGGUUUGACAUCCUGCGAACCUCUUAGAAAUUUGAGGGUGCCUUCGGGAAUGCAGUGACAGGUGGUGCAUGGCCGUUCUU